rnacentral:pre_miRNA from 1 species
CUGCCCCCAAGUGCAAGUAAUCAAGCAUAGGCCAAGACAGAUACAAAAAGCCUAUCCUGGAUUACUUGAACCCGGUUACAG